rnacentral:rRNA from 1 species
AGAGUUUGAUCCUGGCUCAGAUUGAACGCUGGCGGCAUGCCUUACACAUGCAAGUCGAACGGCAGCACGGGAGCAAUCCUGGUGGCGAGUGGCGAACGGGUGAGUAAUAUAUCGGAACGUGCCCAGUCGUGGGGGAUAACGUAGCGAAAGCUACGCUAAUACCGCAUACGAUCUACGGAUGAAAGCGGGGGACUCGUAAGGGCCUCGCGCGAUUGGAGCGGCCGAUAUCAGAUUAGGUUGUUGGUGAGGUAAAAGCUCACCAAGCCUGCGAUCUGUAGCUGGUCUGAGAGGACGACCAGCCACACUGGAACUGAGACACGGUCCAGACUCCUACGGGAGGCAGCAGUGGGGAAUUUUGGACAAUGGACGCAAGUCUGAUCCAGCAAUGCCGCGUGCAGGACGAAGGCCUUCGGGUUGUAAACUGCUUUUGUACGGAACGAAACGGUCUGCUUUAAUACAGUGGGCUAAUGACGGUACCGUAAGAAUAG